rnacentral:rRNA from 1 species
CCUACGGGCGGCAGCAGUGGGGAAUAUUGCACAAUGGGCGCAAGCCUGAUGCAGCCAUGCCGCGUGUAUGAAGAAGGCCUUCGGGUUGUAAAGUACUUUCAGGGGGGAGGAAGGUGUUGUGGUUAAUAACCGCAGCAAUUGACGUUACCCGCAGAAGAAGCACCGGCUAACUCCGUGCCAGCAGCCGCGGUAAUACGGAGGGUGCAAGCGUUAAUCGGAAUUACUGGGCGUAAAGCGCACGCAGGCGGUCUGUCAAGUCGGAUGUGAAAUCCCCGGGCUCAACCUGGGAACUGCAUUCGAAACUGGCAGGCUAGAGUCUUGUAGAGGGGGGUAGAAUUCCAGGUGUAGCGGUGAAAUGCGUAGAGAUCUGGAGGAAUACCGGUGGCGAAGGCGGCCCCCUGGACAAAGACUGACGCUCAGGUGCGAGAGCGUGGGGAGCAAACAAGAUUAGAUACCCCCGUAG